UACGUAGGGCGCAAGCGUUGUCCGGAAUUAUUGGGCGUAAAGAGCUCGUAGGCGGUCUGUCACGUCUGCCGUGAAAACCCGAGGCUUAACCUCGUGGCUUGUGGUGGAUACGGGCAGACUAGAGGUAGGUAGGGGAGAACGGAAUUCCUGGUGUAGCGGUGAAAUGCGCAGAUAUCAGGAGGAACACCGAUGGCGAAGGCAGGUCUCUGGGCCGAUACUGACGCUGAGGAGCGAAAGCGUGGGGGAGCGAACAGG
rnacentral:rRNA from 1 species